CGCGGCCUAUCAGCUUGUUGGUGGGGUGAUGGCCUACCAAGGCUGCGACGGGUAGCCGGCCUGAGAGGGUGUCCGGCCACACUGGGACUGAGAUACGGCCCAGACUCCUACGGGAGGCAGCAGUGGGGAAUAUUGCACAAUGGGCGCAAGCCUGAUGCAGCGACGCCGCGUGGGGGAUGACGGCCUUCGGGUUGUAAACCUCUUUCACCAUCGACGAAGCCUUCGGGUGACGGUAGGUGGAGAAGAAGCACCGGCCAACUACGUGCCAGCAGCCGCGGUAAUACGUAGGGUGCGAGCGUUGUCCGGAAUUACUGGGCGUAAAGAGCUCGUAGGUGGUUUGUCGCGUUGUUCGUGAAAUGCCACAGCUUAACUGUGGGCGUGCGGGCGAUACGGGCAGACUGGAGUACUGCAGGGGAGACUGGAAUUCCUGGUGUAGCGGCGGAAUGCGCAGAUAUCAGGAGGAACACCGGUGGCGAAGGCGGGUCUCUGGGCAGUAACUGACGCUGAGGAGCGAAAGCGUGGGGAGCGAACAGGAUUAGAUACCCUGGUAGUCCACGCCGUAAACGGUGGGUACUAGGUGUGGGUUUCCUUCCUUGGGAUCCGUGCCGUAGCUAACGCAUUAAGUACCCCGCCUGGGGAGUACGG
rnacentral:rRNA from 1 species